GUUCUUCUCGCUUUGAAAGCACAUAUACUAAAACUGAAAGACACAUAGAUUAGCAUCAGCUCUGUGCAAAGAUGACAUGCAAAUUCAUGAAGUGUUCCAUAUUUUA